rnacentral:lncRNA from 1 species
CGCGAGCCGCGGGGGCGGGGGCGGGGGGCGGGGCGGCCGGCGCCCCCGACACCCGGAGCCGAGCCGGCGGCCGGCGGGGCGCGCGGGGAGGGGCGAGCGCGGCCGCGGGUCCGGGGGGCGGGCCGAGCCAGCGCAGCCCCGCGGGCUCCGAGCGGCCCCGCAGCGCGCCCCGAGCCCCGCGCCCCGCGCCCCGCGCCCCGAGCCCUUCCCGCACCCCGGGAGCCGUCGCCCCCGCGCACCUUCGCGGCGCACCCCGAGCCGACCCCCGCGUGGGCGCCGCCGGCUGCGCGCGUCUCCCGUGGACCCUCCUGCGGCAGACUUCCAAGGGCAACGUUCGCCAAAUCCUGGCAAAAUGCUUGCUGACGAUGCAUUUCUCCUUGGGAAAUGAAUUGGAGCUCUCUAAACCAGAGCAAUGCCUGCCUGAAUGCUUUUAUGACUUUGAUAGUUGCAUGUGGAUCCAUUGAUGUUUCUUAUGAAAAGGCUCGAAGAAAAUACUUCAUUGAUGACUGAAUCUCUCUGAACUGUGUAAGUCUAGGAGCU